rnacentral:rRNA from 1 species
GGGUUGUGAGGUUAAGCGACUAAGCGUACACGGUGGAUGCCCUGGCAGUCAGAGGCGAUGAAGGACGUGCUAAUCUGCGAAAAGCGCCGGCGAGGUGAUAUGAACCUUUGACCCGGCGAUGUCCGAAUGGGGAAACCCAGUGUGUUCCGACACACUAUCGUUAACUGAAUACAUAGGUUAACGAGGCGAACCGGGGGAACUGAAACAUCUAAGUACCCCGAGGAAAAGAAAUCAACCGAGAUUCCCCCAGUAGCGGCGAGCGAACGGGGAGCAGCCCAGAGUCUGAAUCAGCUUGUGUGUUAGUGGAAGCGUCUGGAAAGUCGCACGGUACAGGGUGACAGUCCCGUACACGAAAGCACACAGGUUGUGAACUCGAAGAGUAGGGCGGGACACGUGGUAUCCUGUCUGAAUAUGGGGGGACCAUCCUCCAAGGCUAAAUACUCCUGACUGACCGAUAGUGAACCAGUACCGUGAGGGAAAGGCGAAAAGAACCCCGGCGAGGGGAGUGAAAAAGAACCUGAAACCGUGUACGUACAAGCAGUGGGAGCCUCUUUAUGGGGUGACUGCGUACCUUUUGUAUAAUGGGUCAGCGACUUAUAUUCUGUAGCAAGGUUAACCGUAUAGGGGAGCCGAAGGGAAACCGAGUCUUAACUGGGCGUUAAGUUGCAGGGUAUAGACCCGAAACCCGGUGAUCUAGCCAUGGGCAGGUUGAAGGUUGGGUAACACUAACUGGAGGACCGAACCGACUAAUGUUGAAAAAUUAGCGGAUGACUUGUGGCUGGGGGUGAAAGGCCAAUCAAACCGGGAGAUAGCUGGUUCUCCCCGAAAGCUAUUUAGGUAGCGCCUCGUGAACUCAUCUUCGGGGGUAGAGCACUGUUUCGGCUAGGGGGCCAUCCCGGCUUACCAACCCGAUGCAAACUACGAAUACCGAAGAAUGUUAUCACGGGAGACACACGGCGGGUGCUAACGUCCGUCGUGAAGAGGGAAACAACCCAGACCGCCAGCUAAGGUCCCAAAGUCAUGGUUAAGUGGGAAACGAUGUGGGAAGGCACAGACAGCCAGGAUGUUGGCUUAGAAGCAGCCAUCAUUUAAAGAAAGCGUAAUAGCUCACUGGUCGAGUCGGCCUGCGCGGAAGAUGUAACGGGGCUAAACCAUGCACCGAAGCUGCGGCAGCGACGCUUAUGCGUUGUUGGGUAGGGGAGCGUUCUGUAAGCCGUUGAAGGUGUCCUGUGAGGGGUGCUGGAGGUAUCAGAAGUGCGAAUGCUGACAUAAGUAACGAUAAAGCGGGUGAAAAGCCCGCUCGCCGGAAGACCAAGGGUUCCUGUCCAACGUUAAUCGGGGCAGGGUGAGUCGACCCCUAAGGCGAGGCCGAAAGGCGUAGUCGAUGGGAAACAGGUUAAUAUUCCUGUACUUGGUGUUACUGCGAAGGGGGGACGGAGAAGGCUAUGUUAGCCGGGCGACGGUUGUCCCGGUUUAAGCAUGUAGGCGGAGGUUCCAGGUAAAUCCGGUUCCUUGUUAACGCUGAGGUGUGAUGACGAGGCACUACGGUGCUGAAGUAACAAAUGCCCUGCUUCCAGGAAAAGCCUCUAAGCAUCAGGUAACAUCAAAUCGUACCCCAAACCGACACAGGUGGUCAGGUAGAGAAUACCAAGGCGCUUGAGAGAACUCGGGUGAAGGAACUAGGCAAAAUGGUGCCGUAACUUCGGGAGAAGGCACGCUGAUAUGUAGGUGAAGUCCCUGCGGAUGGAGCUGAAAUCAGUCGAAGAUACCAGCUGGCUGCAACUGUUUAUUAAAAACACAGCACUGUGCAAACACGAAAGUGGACGUAUACGGUGUGACGCCUGCCCGGUGCCGGAAGGUUAAUUGAUGGGGUUAGCGGCAACGCGAAGCUCUUGAUCGAAGCCCCGGUAAACGGCGGCCGUAACUAUAACGGUCCUAAGGUAGCGAAAUUCCUUGUCGGGUAAGUUCCGACCUGCACGAAUGGCGUAAUGAUGGCCAGGCUGUCUCCACCCGAGACUCAGUGAAAUUGAACUCGCUGUGAAGAUGCAGUGUACCCGCGGCAAGACGGAAAGACCCCGUGAACCUUUACUAUAGCUUGACACUGAACACUGGUCCUUGAUGUGUAGGAUAGGUGGGAGGCUUUGAAGCGUGGACGCCAGUCUGCGUGGAGCCAACCUUGAAAUACCACCCUUUAAUGGCUGGUGUUCUAACGUAGACCCGUGAUCCGGGUUGCGGACAGUGUCUGGUGGGUAGUUUGACUGGGGCGGUCUCCUCCCAAAGAGUAACGGAGGAGCACGAAGGUUAGCUAAUCCUGGUCGGACAUCAGGAGGUUAGUGCAAUGGCAUAAGCUAGCUUGACUGCGAGAGUGACGGCUCGAGCAGGUGCGAAAGCAGGUCAUAGUGAUCCGGUGGUUCUGAAUGGAAGGGCCAUCGCUCAACGGAUAAAAGGUACUCCGGGGAUAACAGGCUGAUACCGCCCAAGAGUUCAUAUCGACGGCGGUGUUUGGCACCUCGAUGUCGGCUCAUCACAUCCUGGGGCUGAAGUAGGUCCCAAGGGUAUGGCUGUUCGCCAUUUAAAGUGGUACGCGAGCUGGGUUUAGAACGUCGUGAGACAGUUCGGUCCCUAUCUGCCGUGGGCGCUGGAGAAUUGAGGGGGGCUGCUCCUAGUACGAGAGGACCGGAGUGGACGCAUCACUGGUGUUCGGGUUGUCAUGCCAAUGGCACUGCCCGGUAGCUAAAUGCGGAAGAGAUAAGUGCUGAAAGCAUCUAAGCACGAAACUUGCCCCGAGAUGAGUUCUCCCUGAGACUUUAAGUCUCCUGAAGGAACGUUGAAGACUACGACGUUGAUAGGUCGGGUGUGUAAGCGCAGCGAUGCGUUGAGCUAACCGAUACUAAUGAACCGUGAGGCUUAACCUUACAACGCCGAAG